GAUUGUUUCCAUGUCUUAUUUUUUAAGGAACUUUUCCACUGUUUUCCACAGUGGCUGCACCAAUUUACAUUCCCACCAACAGUUUAGGAGGGUUCCCUUUUUUCCACACCCUCUCCAGCAUUUAUUAUUUGUGGUCUUUUUGAUGAUGGCCAUUGUGACCAGUGUGAGGGCAUACUCAUUGUGGUUUUGGUUUGCAUUUCUCUAAUUGUCUGGUCCCUCUGUGUGAUUUCUCUCAAUUCUUGCCCACACGCAGCAAGGAUUUAGAGGUGUGGGCAGUCUGGCAGGGGGACUAUUCCGUCUGCGAAAUGUGGAGAUCACAAUCGAACUCAAAUGAUAGUAGUGUAUAGCAAAUUUUAUUUAUGCCCUCAGAGAGAGAGCAGGCCACCCUGGAGUACAGACUGGCUCUGGUCACAGCUGGGUCUUUCCUUAUAUCCGCAUACAGUGAAUGUAGUUGGGGACCUGAAUUUUCCUGCCCUGAGCCCCACUCAUUUUCCUGUCCCAGCCCUGCUGCACCAUCUCUAAGGGCAGUGUUGUUUGAUCUCUGUAUGAGGGUGCAUUUUGAUCCUCUGGUUGUUUUCAGGCUGGAUACCUUAUUAGCAUGAGGAACAGGUUAUAUAGAGGCAAGGUAAGGAAUGGGUGACAUUUCUUCCCUAACAGGGAGUGAGCAGCCCAGGUUGCUCAAGGUGGGGGAAGGGGUAUUACAAUGAAACCUGGUCAGUGGCUUUUGGGUUUGAUCUCCUUCAUGGGGACUUGAAGCCUAUAACAUGAUAAUUGGUGAUAUUGAGCAACUUUUCAUGUGUGUGUUGGCCAUCUGGUGUCUUCUUUGGACAUUGUCUGUUUAGGUCUUCUACCCUAAAAUGGGCAUAUUAAUGCAUGACUCCGUGGAGUUAUGGUAAGAAUUGACCAAAAUGGCCUUAGUGUUUCCCUCAACUUGACUAGAGUUUGGGCAGGCUUCUUUCUGCCCCUUGGCCCUUGACCUCACCCCAGAUAUCCUAUGAUCCUUGCCCCCCAUUCCACCUCUUAAAAACUCUACCACCCUUUGAUUCAUUGGAGAUAAGUUGAGAUUGAGUUAUGAAGAAAAAUGUGGAAGUCCUGACUAUUAUAAUACUUCCAGGAAUACAUAGACAGAAGAGAAUAUGUUCAGAGAAUUCUUGAUUUUCUUUUUCCAACAAAAGAAAAACUCAGGGGUAAAGGAGAGAAUGGGUCUUACACAAAACUUUGAGUUAUUCAAAACUCUGGCAAUGCAUCAUAAGCCAUGGGGUGGGCACUAAACUAAAAGCACCAAGAUUAAUAAUUUUCUGAGCCAAAGUACCUGAAGAAGUCAGAGGCCUCAGAAACCUGCUGAAGGGCACUGAGAAUAGAUCCAUUUUAUAAAAUUCCUUUAAAAGGCUACUGGUCCACACCCUUUUGUGCUUUGGAUUAUUCCCAGUGUUUACUGUAGAAAGGGAGAGAUUAGAGAUGAAAUAUAUAGUCAUAGUUAAUAUCUCACCUCCCUUCCAUCAUACCAAAAACAAACAAACCCAAACAUGCCUUACCUACCAACUUAGCUAUUUUCAUUUUCAUCUAUUCUUAAUUUGGGACUGGAGCUGUGGUCAGCAGGGGUUCAGUAAAUGAUUUUCCUCACAAUAGCACUGCUGCUCUCUGCCUCACUGCUUUUUUCCUUGAGGGCAGAGAUGUCUAGGAAUCUCAUCCUGGCACUAUAUUCCUUGGUUGUUGGUUUUCUUUGACUCCCCUCCUCUCCCUGACAGGAAAUAGGAGGUCCUAGGUGAUACUUUUUCCCCAGCUAUGGCUACCAUAGCAAUGAAUAUGCACUGGGGUAAGAUAAGCCGUGUUACCAGGCUGUAGAGUCUUCCUUCAAAAUAUUUGAUGGAUUAAUUCCCAGAAACCUGCUUGCUCUGAGAUAAGGAGUGUGUGAGAGUGUGGUAGAGGAGUGUGGGGGUGCAGAUGGUGGUGGCCAUUUCUCAUUCAGUCACAACUAUUGGCUGAAAAUUAUCAUUACAAACAUACGUGUCACACUAUUCAGGGUUACAGAAUGCCUGGGAGAGAACUGAUCUAGAAUGAGGGUAUAUAUGAUAAACAAUAGGUAUCAGCAGGAGAGAGAGGCAGCACUGGGCUCCCCCUGACCCCAGAGUCACGGUAUCUCUCUUUUUUAUCCUCUUUGUCAUAGUCAAGUUCAAAGAGAUUUAGCACACAGGGACACCAGGCUGUCAGCUGAAUCUUCACUUAGACUUGAACUUCCAGCCUGAAUCUCUUUAUGUUUCUCUAUGGUAAACCAGACUGGGCAAUACCAACAGUGACGGUUUGAAAAUUGUCUGUUUACCUUUAAUUUAUUCUGCCUUACUUUGUCCAUAAAUGCAUCUGUUUUUGUCAGAGCAGGCCCCAGAUGAGCUGGAUGCUCCUCUUGCUACUUUAAGCUUUCAGUUUCUAAGAGCCAGCUCACUCCUCUGUCCUCCUUCCUCCCCUCUCAGAAUACAUGCACACAUGGAAUCCUCUGUCAGCUCCUAAACAUUUUUAUAUUUAGAGUUAUUAACCUUAGUAUCCUGUUGCUAAACAUAUAGCUCCUCUGUUAUGAAGCCUAUGACUGGGCAAUAGCCUUCUUUGUAUUUGACUGAAGUAGGUGAUUAAGUUCUUGGUAGUGAAAAGUAAGAAAAUAUGUUGUAUAGAAAUCAUGGGAAGUCUCUUUCUUCCCUUCCACUUUUCUGAUACUGAUGCUUAAAAUGUGGCUGUGAUAGCUGGAACUCCAGCAGCCUUUUUGGAGUAUGAUGAUGAAGGCUACAUCCUAGCAAUCACAGAAAGAGUCUAUGUCUCUGGUGGACAUGGAGCUAUUAUUCUAGUCUGGUCCUGGACUCUUUCAUACUUUUUUUUUUUCUUGUGUGUAUGACAAAUAAACUCUUAUUAGCUAUUUCAUCUCCAGUUGGAAUAUUUUUAAAUCUUAUUUUAACUACAAUAUGUGAGCAUGUGCUAACAUGCUGGGUUUACUUUUCUCCUGUUGUUAUUCUAUUCUCCUGUUGUUAAAUUUCUGUGACAACUCCUAAUAUCUUUAUGUAUCUUCCUCUAUUUUAAAUUUUCCCUUAAAUAAACUUUAGUGGAAAUCACUGUUCCAGGAACUAUGCCAGGCUACUGGAAAACAAUGGUUAAUCUAUAAUACUUUAUGGCUGUGAGGCAUUCACCUGAACCCCUUUCCAAAGAAGUACAGGAGAGUGACAUCGGGUGAAUGUCACUACCGCCCAAAUCAGCUUUGCUCUUGGCAUAUAGAAAGAGUAGGCCUGUCUCUGGCCUUGAAAAAAAAAUGUAGUAUAAUAGAAAAGGAGAACAGAAAGGCUUAAAAUAAUGAAUGUUUAUAGGCAUCCAGGGAGAAUGAAAUUAGUGUUUCUUUUCUUUUCAGGCUUAUUGUUGAAAAAUUAAUAAUCUUCUGGAGGUCUGCUAUUAAAAUAGAAUUAGCAGUGACCUCAUAGAGAGCCCUAAAACUUACAAAUUGUGUUCCCUCUUGCCUUCACUGGUUGGGUGCAAUCCAAAGUGCGUCGAUUAUGAAUGGUCUAACUUUUGCAAAACAACUUUUCUUUUCUCUAAUUUUUGCAGUUGCUUUAAAAAAACAAAAAACAAAAAAAA
rnacentral:lncRNA from 1 species